UGAAUACGAGACGCUAAGGCGUCGAAGUAGUGUAUAUCAUACUUCCAAGAAAAGCUUGCACUGUCAUAGAUAAAAAACGCCUGUACCAUAACCGACACAGGUGGGUUAGAGUAUACUAAGGGGCGCGGGAUAACUCUCUCUAAGGAACUCGGCAAAAUAACUCCGUAACUUCGGGAGAAGGAGUGCCUUAUUCGUAAGGUUGCAAUAACAAGAUCCAAGCAACUGUUUAUCAAAAACACAGGUCUCCGCUAAGUCGUAAGACGAUGUAUGGGGGCUGACGCCUGCCCAGUGCCAGAAGGUUAAAGAAGUUGGUUAGCAAUUGCGAAGCUGAUAACUGAAGCCCUGGUGAACGGCGGCCGUAACAAUAACGGUCCUAAGGUAGCGAAAUUCCUUGUCGGGUAAGUUCCGACCCGCACGAAAGGCGUAAUGAUUUGGAUACUGUCUCGGAGAGGGGCUCGGUGAAAUAGACUUGUCUGUGAAGAUGCGGACUACCUGCACCAGGACAGAAAGACCCUAUGAAGCUUUACUGUAACUUGAAAUUGAAAUUGGACUUUAUUCGCGCAGUAUAGGUGGGAGGCGUUGAUUAUAAUCUUGUGGGAUUAUUGGAGCCAUCAGUGAGAUACCACUCUUGUAAUGUUAGAUUUCUAACUUUGAAUCAUUAUCUGGUCAAAGAACAGUUUCAGGCGGGCAGUUUGACUGGGGCGGUCGCCUCCUAAACGGUAACGGAGGCGUACAAAGGUUUCCUCUGAACGGUUAGAAAUCGUAUCUAGAGUGUAAAGGCAUAAGGAAGCUUGACUGUGAGACCUACAAGUCGAGCAGGGACGAAAGUCGGUCUUAGUGAUCUGACGGUACUGAGUGGAAAGGCCGUCACUCAACGGAUAAAAGUUACUCUAGGAUAACAGGCUGAUCUCCCCCAAGAGUUCACAUCGACGGGGAGGUUUGGCACCUCGAUGUCGGCUCAUCGCAUCCUGGGGCGGUAGUACGUCCCAAGGGUUGGGCUGUUCGCCCAUGAAAGCGGUACGCGAGCUGGGUUCAGAACGUCGUGAGACAGUUCGGUCCAUAUCCGGUGUAGGCGUUAGAAUAUUGAGAGGAGCCUUCUUUAGUACGAGAGGACCGAGAAGGACAUACCUCUGGUGUACCAGUUAUCGUGCCAACGGUAAACGCUGGGUAGCUAUGUAUGGAGUGGAUAACCGCUGAAAGCAUCUAAGUGGGAAGCCCACCUCAAGAUAAGUAUUCUCAU
rnacentral:rRNA from 1 species